CAGCACCUCAAGUGGUCAGGAUGAUUAUUGGGCCUAAAGCAUCCGUAGCCGGCUCUGUAAGUUUUCGGUUAAAUCUGUAUGCUCAACAUACAGGCUGCCGGGAAUACUGCAAAGCUAGGGAGUGGGAGAGGUAGACGGUACUCGGUAGGAAGGGGUAAAAUCCUUUGAUCUAUUGAUGACCACCUGUGGCGAAGGCGGUCUACCAGAACACGUCCGACGGUGAGGGAUGAAAGCUGGGGGAGCAAACCGGAUUAGAUACCCGAGUAGUCC
rnacentral:rRNA from 1 species